AUUGAACGCUGGCGGCAUGCCUAACACAUGCAAGUCGAGCGGAUGAAGGGAGCUUUCUCCUGGAUUCAGCGGCGGACGGGUGAGUAAUGCCUAGGAAUCUGCCUGGUAGUGGGGGAUAACGUCCGGUAACGGGCGCUAAUACCGCAUACGUCCUGAUGGUGAAAGGGGGGGAUCUUCGGACCUCACGCUAUCAGAUGAGCCUAGGUCGCAUUAGCUAGUUGGUGGGGCAAAGGCGUACCAAGGCGACGUUCCGUAACUGGGCUGAGUGGAUGAUCAGUCACACUGGAACUGAGACACGGUCCAGACUCCUACGGGAGGCAGCAGUGGGGAAUAUUGGACAAUGGGCGAAAGCCUGAUGCAGCAAUGCCGCGUGUGUGAAGAAGGUCUUCGGAUUGUAAAGCACUUUAAGUUGGGAGGAAGGACAGUAAGUUAAUACCUUGCUGUUUUGACGUUACCAACAGAGUAAGCACCGGCUAACUUCGUG
rnacentral:rRNA from 1 species